rnacentral:rRNA from 1 species
GAUGAACGCUGGCGGCGUGCCUAAUACAUGCAAGUCGAGCGAACAGACGAGGAGCUUGCUCCUCUGACGUUAGCGGCGGACGGGUGAGUAACACGUGGAUAACCUACCUAUAAGACUGGGAUAACUUCGGGAAACCGGAGCUAAUACCGGAUAAUAUUUUGAACCGCAUGGUUCAAUAGUGAAAGACGGUUUUGCUGUCACUUAUAGAUGGAUCCGCGCUGCAUUAGCUAGUUGGUAAGGUAACGGCUUACCAAGGCAACGAUGCAUAGCCGACCUGAGAGGGUGAUAGGCCACACUGGAACUGAGACACGGUCCAGACUCCUACGGGAGGCAGCAGUAGGGAAUCUUCCGCAAUGGGCGAAAGCCUGACGGAGCAACGCCGCGUGAGUGAUGAAGGUCUUCGGAUCGUAAAACUCUGUUAUUAGGGAAGAACAAAUGUGUAAGUAACUAUGCACGUCUUGACGGUACCUAAUCAGAAAGCCACGGCUAACUACGUG